rnacentral:lncRNA from 1 species
GUCAGCCUCGGGCACAGCUCCUUUUGACAGUUUGCUCCCCAGGGCGGAAGGUGACCCGCAGGUGCCGGCUGCUUUCCCCACCAAUCAGCCAUCUGUGGUUUGAGACUCACAAGCUUAGGAGAGACUCGGGAGGCAUCAGUUCCGCAUCCCGCACUCCCACGUGAAUUUGCCCCCGCCCUGAGUCAGAACCCUAGAGGGGUGAAAUCCCUGAAUUCUGCAGAGGAAACCCAUACUUCUUUGCUUUUUCAGCAAUUCCAGGAGAUGUCGUUUUUCAAGUGGCAAAUGUGUGGCUCUAGAGGACAGAGUAACCACCUUGCAGCCAAGAAGCCCUGAUGUCAACUCCCAGCUCUGCUGCAGCACCCAGAAAUCACCGGACCUUUCUGCAUCUUUCUGGGUGACUCUGUCAUGAGGAUUUCAUAAUGUAAUUCCCUAGCACAUAAGAAUUUCUCAACCAAUAUGGCUUUCUUUUUUCCUUCUCACUAGUCUUUGAGCUUCUUAAAGGGAAGACAUGUCCUAUUCAUCUCUACACCCCCCACACCAGUCUGCAUUCAGUAAGUGCUCAAUCAAUGUCUGCUGAAUCACAUCUUCCCACUCAACUGCAUGGCCUCGGAUGAUCCAAUUCUGUGGGACUCAGGGUCUCCCUGAUUCUGAAGAUCUCCAUUUCAGCCACCCCAUCCUGGUGCUUUUUCUGGAGAGACUGGGAAAAAGGAGACAGAAGAAUCCACUCUAGCUGAGACUCCAGAUUGCCUGGGCUGUAAUUUACGGUGCUAUCACAAAGGGGUCCUUUUUCCGCAUGGUGCUCUGCGGUGAUGAGCCAGAAGCUGAAGCUGAGGGGUGUGUGACUCUCCCGCACACUCUCUGGAGUCUUAUUGGCUGUGCAAACUUGAGGGAGUUGCCUAACCACUCUGGGCCCUGUUUUCCUGGCUUUGCCACUCUUCAGCUGUGUGACCCGGGGAAGCUCUCAACCUCUUUGUGCCUCCAUUUCCACAUCUGUAAAAUGGGGAUAUGAAAGUGGCUGCUUUGUGAAGAGUCCUGAGAAUAAAUGAGUUAAGUUUCCAUGAAUCAGGAAUCCAGGAGUGGUGUAAGUUUCUCAGGAAGUUGCAGUCAAGACAUUGGCCAGGUCUGUGAUCAUCUGAAGGCUUGACUGGGGCUGACAGAUCCACCUCCAAGUUGGUUCACUCCCAUGGUGCAGACUGCUGGCAGAAGAACUCAAUGUCUCCCACAUGGGCCCCUCAACAGGCUGCUUGAGUAUGUUCAGAGCAUGGUGGCUGGCCUCCCUCCAAGUGAGCAGUCCAAGACCUAUUCUGGGACGUCAUACACCAACACUUUUGCCACAUUCUACUCCUUAGAAGCAAGUCCCUAAGCAAAGCUCAUACUCCACGGGAGGGAAACCAGGCUCCACCUCUUGAAGGGAGGGGCACCAAAUAAUUUGCAAGUAUAUUUCAAAACCACUGCAGGUCACAUGGUGCAGAAAGACAGAAGCAGAGCAGAAGAAUAUUAAAACCUAUUGAAUUUACAACAGCAAGAAUAAAAUACAUGAUUGUUGGAACAUUUAGAGCUCCUUUCUCUCUAUUGUCUGCCCAGGAAAACUGAUAUGGAUAAAUAUGGAAGAGAGCUGGCCAGUGGAUGAAAUGGUGAUGUAAAGGUUAAGAGAAAUAAAAGCAGGAGACGAGGAGAGAGUCACACCACGGUGAGCAGAGAGUUGAGCUGGGGCCCGGGACAAGCAUCAAAAGUGUCACUUCCUCUGAGGUCCCAACCCUACUUCCAUAGGCUCUGCAGCCCACACCACCUUGGAACCAAACAGGGAGGUGGCAGAACUGAUGGGCUGGCCGCACCACCUUAAAUCUCUUAGCUCCAAAACUGGAGGUGCUCAUCAGGACCCUGCAUCAUUUCUGUGGGUGAUGGAUGGUGUGAGGUAAGGCACAGAGAUCUAGACUUAUUUCUCCUUCCACAACAAUUGUUUCUUGGAAGAGGAAGAAAACUUAGCUGGAUUUUAUCUCUUUGUGUGGAUUUCUGGGGUAGACACCCAGAGGUGUGUGCAGGAGCAUGCUCUUUGGGGCCCACAUAGAGAUUCCAGCAGGUGCUGGAGAUUCUGGGGUAGCCUUUCCAUGACUGCUGGCCUCUUUUCCCCUGUGUUGCUUUGGUUUGCUGUCUGGCUAAAGGCAGGAGUGGGAGAAACUCACAUUCCACAAGAGGCUGCCUGGAGCAGAGGCCAAGAGGGUAAGGUUUGUCCAAGGCCUUCCAUCUCAGCUUUGCUGCCAAUUUGUCAGAAAAAAAAUCAUUUGUGCCAAUUAGACCCUGGUUAGGAAAGUGUUGUCCUGUCUGGGAAGCAGGUACAGAAACCAGUUGCAAGGACAGGAGAUCAAUGAAAGUGACACAUUACUUAUGCCUCCAAUUCUUCUCAGCCCUCAAUUUAGUCUCUGAGACACAGAGAAAAUAAGUGUACUUGCCUUGCUAAUGGGUACAUGGUUGGCUUUGGGCAAUUUAUAUAGAGCACUUUAGUUCCAAGAUGAAAUGCACUGAGAUAUUAGGAUUAGUCUCUGCUUUAAUGAGUUUCUGACUUGCAGGUUUGAAAAAAUUUAGUUCUUUUCUGUAUUUCUCUACAAACACAAAACAAUGAUUUAAUGGUAAAACAACAAUGAAAAGAAACUAGGCCAUUCUCUCCAAAAUGAUUAAAAGGGUACUUCUCCUGACCUGACAUAACCUUUCCUCAUAUGAAUUUAUUAUCUGUAUUCACACUCAUAUUCCACUGGAAUGCCUUGGGUCCAGGUGGAUGGUUGCUUAUGGUUAGUAUCGAUUCUGAGCAGGUAGGCAUUCAUACUGUUUGGUUGACGCCUGUGGUGAACAGACCUUAAGGUGACUUCUUGCACCCCUGAGUCAUUUUCUUGUAUAAUCUCCUCUCUUUGAGGACACAAACUGUGCCCUGCUUCAAACCAGUGGAAUAGAGACAAGGUGAUGAGAUCUUUGGUUAUUGCACCUAACUGCUUCAUUCAUUGCACAAUUAGUCACACGCUGUUUUGUGAUGCAGAACAUUUUUUUUUAAGAGAUGGUAGUCUCACUCUGACACCCAGGUUGGAGUGCAGUGACAUGAUCAGAGCUCACUGCAGCCUCAAACUCCUGGGCUCAAGGGAUCCUCCUGCCUCAGCCUCCUGAGUAGCUGGGACUAGAGGUGCGUGCCACCACACCCAGCUAUUUUUUAUUUUUUGUAGAAAUGGAGUCUCACUUUGUGGCCCAAGCUGGUCUCCAACUCCUGGGCUCAAGUGAUCCUCCCACCUUGGCUUAUCAAAUUGCUGGGAUCACAGGUUUGAGCCACCGUGCUUGGACUGUGAUGCAAAAUUUUAUCUAAACCUUGUAUUGUUGACUAUAGCAUCAUGCACUUACUAUUUUCCCUCUUAACUAGAUUUUAAGUCUCUUGAGGGCAAGAACUCUGUUCUUGAAGAUUUUCAGAAGCCCGAUAGCAUAUGGAAGUACUUGACACACAAUAAGUACACAGUCAUAUGUGAUUUGGUUUCUGAGCCUUCAUUUGUCCAACAAAACCAGAUGGGUCUUAGAUGAAGAUAUACGUGGCAAACACUGCAUGCCUACUGUGGGUCAGGUUAGCUCCCAGACAUGCAGAAAACAAAAGCUCUGUCCUCAGGAGUUCAUGAUGGUUCAACCCAAUCAACGAAGUCUUGCAAUCUCACUUCCUCCUUACCUUGUAGAGUUGGAAGAUAUCCAAAUAUUCCUAGAGUUCUUUGUCAAUCUGUCAGGAUUAUAAUUCCACAGAUCAGGCAGAGUGUAACCAUGAAGCUCUUCAGUGAAUUUUUAGUGACUUUUGGGUGAUUUUUUAGUUUCCAAGUAGAAGAAGCAAAAGACCCUUGUGGUGGUUACCUUCCAUCUAAACAGAGAGUGAGCUACAAAGAUACUGCUGUCCCUCAGUGGCCCAUGGGUGUCCCUGCAAAUCUGUGACUCAAGUGGCCAUAUUCAUAUUAAGCAGACCAGAGAUCAAAACCAUAUUAGGCAUGAACCACUUUUUAUUCAUAGGCUUACCGAAUAUAU